rnacentral:hammerhead_ribozyme from 1 species
AUCCAGCUGACGAGUCCCAUAUAGGACGAAACACGUGUCAAACUACAU